GAGGAGCCGCCUCUGUUUGGUCUCCAUAAACUGCUGGAGUUCAUCCUCCAUGAACAGUUCUGCAGUGGACUCGAAUGAGGCUGCAAAGUGAGAGAAAGCAGCAGAGCUGGGAACAACAGACAGGUGUCCUGAGUCAGCCCCAGGCAGACACACCAGUAUAACCAGCAGCACACAGGUGGUGGAGAUCUCAGCUGAAGAUGCAGCCAGCUUAGUCUGUGAGAGGUCCUGCAGAUGCCUCUGACAUUCCUGCUGGUUGGGAUGUUUGCCUCUGCUGGGAGACCCCUCCAUCCUUUUCCUGGUUAGGAAAGGGACACAGCUGGGCCCCUGGAAGACUGACGGUGUGAAGAGUGAAGGCAGGACUGGUGCUGAGAGUGGAGUUCUUCUAGGUUUGGCAGUAAAUGUGGAUGAACAUCCCUUGCCUCUUGCUGAUGGAGCUGUGUGGUGUCCCUGCUUGCCCUUGGACACCAGUUGGACUUCCCAGUGAAGGAUGAGCCCGGCUGCACUCAGACUGAGCCAGCCUUGCCAGCCAAAGCAGAUUCUUCAUCCCUGCUUCCAAGCAGCACGGGCUUAAACAACUGGUGUCAGAGUGGGGUGUCUCUGCAGUCCUGGCCACGAAGAGAGGAGAUGAAACGUCCUGUUUGGAGCACAGGGAAGGGGCUGGAGCUGGGCUGCCAUCUCCACAACUGAAAAACUACAGUGAAAUCAGAGUUCUUUGUUCAUCUUUCAUUGCCUGCUUUGAGGAAAACAGUGAUCAGGAGAUGAGACAUGAGCCUUGAGGGAAGCAAUACUGUGCAGUCAGGAAGUUGCUUGUUCCACGAUCAGCAUCGCUGCAGCUCCUGAGGGAAAGGAUGACACUGUCUGGGCAGACUUGGAACCUGCUGAGAGCACUCGCACCUGGUACUCCACCCAGGAUCCAGUCUGCAAGUGGAAAAGUUGCCACUGAUGACUCGGAAUUUAGGAGCCAAGAGCUGCUGUGCGGAGUGGGAGCGCGUCAAGUGAGAGCGGUGAGGAGCGGAGUUCACCCAGUAACUGUGGCACGAGUGCCCAGCUUGGCCUGGCAGGAAGGUGAGCGGCACCUGAAGCCUCUUCCUGGAGUGUCCAGCCUGGCACGGAGACUGAGCCUGACCGUGGACUGAGCCCAUCAUUCCCACAUCCCAGCCAGGCAUUGUGCAUGCAGGUGCUGUCCUGGGCAGAACACAGGAUGCACCUGAGUCACUUCAAACAGUUAUAAUCUGAUCUCUCAGAGCAGCACCGUCAGCAGCUUCUCCUCCCCCUCGUGCAGUACACGGAGAGGUGUUCCCAUCCCUGGGCACCUUGGAAGUCCCAACAAGCCACGAGUGGCCAAGACCUGCCAAAGCCUGUUGAUCCAGACACUGGAUUCCUAAAGCCUUUGCUUUCCCCAGCACCUUCAUAAAGUGUCCUGGAUUAAGGGAGCCUGAAGUGCUCUGAUGGACCUGUUUCACCUGGUGGGAGGCAGAGGAUUCAGCGGGAGCACGUGCUGCAGCCUUGUGCACCUCACUUGGAUGGGUGAGAUGGAGCAGGGGCAGCUCCCAAGAGCCUGCGAGUCCCCACGAGGCACAAACCGCUCUGAAGCACCAGCCUUUGAAGCCUGGUUGGGGCAGUGUCCAGACCAAGCUGCCCCUCUGUGUGACCAGAAGUCAGUGCCUGUCCUUGCUGAGCCCUUCCACAGAGCCUCUGCAGCCCAGUGGGCACAAAGG